rnacentral:lncRNA from 1 species
CGUGAAUUGUCAACUUGACUGGAUUAAGAGAUGAUGGUUAAAAGGGUUAUGGGUGUGUCGAGGAGGGUGUGUCUAGGAAUGAUUGGCAUGUGGGAUAGCCAACUAAAAUGGAGACCCUCCCUAAGCAUGGCAGCACUGACCAAUAGGAUGGUGGCUUGGAUGGAUUAAAAGUGGACAGAUCAAGGAGGACGCAACAGCAGCUGCAGGUGCAAGCUCCAUUCUUCCUGAAGGCUUCUUGAUUGCUGCUGCGACCCUCUGAGGACAUCCGCCUCUCGCUUCUUCAUCUUCCAGGGCAGAUCCUCCAGGAGCCUUUGGUCAGGGACUAGGGCAGCACCGUUGACCCCUCUCAUUCUGGGACUUCAGCCUCUUGGACUGCGCAGCUACGGGUUCUCCCAGCUCUCCGCUUGCAGACGGCCAGUGGGGACUGUCUACCCUGCGACAAGGGCCCAUCGCACACUGCAUGCCUUGUUCUUCAGACACCAGCACUUUCUCCACACCUGAGACGCAGAAGCUGGUCAUUGUCACCACACUCUGGGAGGCUCUGUCCACCGUACAGAGGCAGCCACAUUCACAUAGCAGGCGGGUGGCAGCGCCACAGGGGGCCCAUCGCUGCAGGAGGGGGCCAGCAGCUGGGAGAAUCCCCCACAAGGCCCAGCCGCUGAGUGGGCUUCUUCAAUGGGGGACCUUGGAAUUUGGGGAAGGUGGAGCAAAGACGCCCCCUCUGUGGUGGACAGCGCCCCCUGCUGCCGUGGAAACGCCCCUUAGGUGCCCACAGCCCCUCUAGGGCCACGUCUUCCUGGGUCCUGGGCAGGGCUGUGGGCUCCCUGCCUCCUCCUGCCAAGAGAAGUCUUUGGAAGGUGCUGGCUGCAGUCCCGUCCGGCCAUUCUCCGCAGCUGCUGCUCCUCCUGGACCCCUCCCCUCUGAGUCCCUCUGCACAUCUGUGCGUGCGUCACUUGGCUAAGGCAGUGACACAGCCUGGACACUUGUUGACUCUGAGUCCCCAUGAGCCUAUGUUUUUCUUUU